rnacentral:rRNA from 1 species
GGGAAAAGCUCAAAUUUGAAAUCUGGCAGUCUAUUUUUUCUUCUUUGGCUGUCCGAGUUGUAAUCUAGAGAAGUGCUUACCUGCACUGGACCAUGUAUAAGUCUCCUGGAAUGGAGCGUCGCAGAGGGUGAGAAUCCCGUCUUUGACAUGGACCGCCAGUGUGUUGUGGUGUGCUCUCAAAGAGUCGAGUUGUUUGGGAAUGCAGCUCUAAAUGGGUGGUAAACUCCAUCUAAAGCUAAAUAUUGGCGAGAGACCGAUAGCGAACAAGUACCGUGAGGGAAAGAUGAAAAGGACUUUGGAAAGAGAGUUAAACAGUAUGUGAAAUUGUUGAAAGGGAAACGCUUGAAGUCAGUUGUGUCGGCUAGGGAUCAACCUAGCUCUUUUGCUGGGUGAACUUCCUAUUCUGACAGGCCAACAUCAGUUUUGACCGCCGGAAAAGAGCGGAGGGAAUGUGGCACCUUCGGGUGUGUUAUAGCCCUUUGUCAUAUGUGGCGGUCGGGACUGAGGGAUGCAGCGUGCCGCGAGGCUGGGUUUCGACCACGUUCACGCUUAGGAUGUUGGCUUUUAAUGGCUUCAAUCGACCCGUCUUGAAACACGGACCAAGGAGUCUAACAUGCCUGCGAGUGUUUGGGUGGAAAACCCUUGCGCGCAAUGAAAGUGAAAGUUGAGAUCCCUGUCGUGGGGAGCAUCGACGCCCGGACUUGAGCUUUCAGCGACGGAUCCGCGGUAGAGCAUGCAUGUUGGGACCCGAAAGAUGGUGAACUAUGCCUGAAUAGGGCAAAGCCAGAGGAAACUCUGGUGGAGGCUCGUAGCGAUUCUGACGUGCAAAUCGAUCGUCAAAUUUGGGUAUAGGGGCGAA